rnacentral:tRNA from 1 species
CUCGCUGUAGCUCAGUGGUAGAGCGCCCGGCUCUGACUUCCGGGUGGACGCCGGUUCGAGCCCGGUCAGCGAGG